UCUCUGUUAUCUAAGCUGGUAAAGAAUCUGCCUGCAAUGCAGGAGAUCCUGGUUAAAUUCCUGGGUUGGGAA
rnacentral:tRNA from 1 species